rnacentral:rRNA from 1 species
UACGAAGGGGGCUGGCGUUGUUCGGAAUUACUGGGCGUAAAGCGCGCGCAGGCGGCUUUCCAAGUCAGUGGUGAAAUCCUGGAGCUCAACUCCAGAACUGCCUUCGAUACUGGGAAGCUCGAGUCCGGGAGAGGUGAGUGGAACUGCGAGUGUAGAGGUGAAAUUCGUAGAUAUUCGCAAGAACACCAGUGGCGAAGGCGGCUCACUGGCCCGGUACUGACGCUGAGGUGCGAAAGCGUGGGGAGCAAACAGG